rnacentral:misc_RNA from 1 species
AAAGAAAACUUGAAAAACAAGAGUAACAGAAAGUUACACGGGGCAGGGGCGUGUAACAUUACACGGGCCAUGUAGAGUCCCCUGACAACAAUUCUGAUAUGAUUUUUUUUCGCUCAUUCGACCUGGAUGGACUCCUAAUGCUUCUAGGGCUCUGAAAUUAGGGUUUUUACACCAGAUAUAAAUAGAACAAGUUAGGAAUUAAGGUUGAGAGCAGAAUUUACCAUUAGGGGAGAGAAUUAACAUUCAAGAGCCGAU